UCACAAUCCAAUAGAAAGCUAAAUGGGAACUUUCAACUGGACCUGGGUAUACCCAGAUGGGACAGUAAUCCCAAUCACGCUAUUCAAGGUGAUUAUAGUCUUGGUUGAUUAACAGAAUUAUUUAUCCCUCUUAAUCUUAAGAAAAACAAUUUCUGACUUGUUUUAAACUGUAGGGAGACUUAUUCUGUGUUUGGGCAAAGCAAGCAGUUUCUGUAGUUGUAUAAUGUGAUUAGACCUUAAAAACCUCAACCAGCCUCCAAGCAUUUUGUCUCUUUGGCACCUUUUUUUUUUUCAUAGUGUUUUAUUUCUCCAAAUACAUGUAAAGAUACUCCCUAACAUUCAUCCCUGUGUUCCAAAUUUCCCCCCAUCCCCCAAGACAGCAAGAAAUUUGAAAGAGGCUAAACACAUUUGGCAGUAUUUCUCAUAUGACCUAGUCUGCAAUUUCCCAAUAUGCAAAAGUCACUGCUUUGGGUUAGGUACUAAAGGUAGGAACAAUUCUUUAAAAGGCCACCUUUAAUCCCCAAGCAUAUUGCCAAAGGGAACCUCAUCCAAAUUAUUGUGGAUUAAUUUCUUAGAAUUAGAGAUAGACGUCUCUGAAAGGAACCUGACAGAUCAUUCAAUCUAUGCAUUUGAUAGAUCCGUACAUAAUUGAAAUUACUGUGGUGAGAUUAGGAUUUUGCCCAAGAUGCUGAUGGCUAAAGUAGGGGUGAGCUUCUUUCCUAUGGGGACAACUAUCCUAUAUCUCAAGCCCAUCCCCAUGAUCCUGUCAUCAUAAAUCCCCUCUCUCAGAGUUCACCUUUUUCAUGCCCCAACAGCCCAAGUGUCUCAUGCUAAAUUCUCCAAUGCAAUGGUUUUAAACCUUGGAUAUAUUAAUUUUGCUUAAUUUUUUUCAUAAAUGUAUUUCAUUAUAUUGGUUCCUUUUGUAAUCCUAUGUAUUUUAUCUUAAAGACAUAGCAUUAUUCUGAGAAGGAAUCAAUAGGUUUCAUCAGACUAUCAAGAGGGUCCAUGACAGACCAGAAAAGUUAAGAAUCCUGCUUUCAUGGAUAGAUUACCCCAGUAUCAAGUGCUAAACUAGCGAUUUAAUAGUCUUCUGGUGGCUUGUUCAUAUCCCCAAUCAGGUAAAUUUGUCCUUAACAAAAGAAUCCCUAAUUGCAAAUGUGGAUGAAGCUACAGAAUUAGGUGGUAUCUUAGAAAGUACUGAGUACCCGGCUCUGAAAAAACUAAGACACAGGACAGUUGAGUAUCAAUGGAGAGAGUAAGAAUAUUCCAGUUACAAUCUUGAGUGGAUGGAGACAGCAUAGAGUGGACUGAGGAGGACAAGUAAGAUGUCUUAAAGCAGAACAGAAAGAAAGAAAGAAAGAAAGAAAGAAAGAAAGAAAGAAAGAAAGAAAGAAAGAAAGAAAGAAAGAAAGAAAGAAAGAAAGAAAAUUUGAAGGUCUGCACCAUCAAUCCAGCUUAGAUUCUUAAUUGCCUAAAUCACUGAGAGGUUAAAUGUUUUCCCUGGUGUCUUCAUAGUAUGUGUCAGAGACAGGACUUUAACCCAGGUUUUCCUCACUCCAACGCCAACUUCCUCUUCCAGGCUGCUUCAUGAACUAUGCCACAUUUCAUUUGUUUUAAAUUAUUUAGCUAACUGGCCACAAUUUUUCACAGUUAUAAAACCCCUGAUUUUGUCCUCAACACUUCUAGUUUAAUUAGAGCAGUGGUCUCUAAACUAUUUCUUAUCAUUAACUUCUUUU
ensembl:lncRNA